CUAAGAUUUAUAUUGUGAGAUGCACAUGCUGCACGUAACAGCUUCUUUCUUCUCUCACUGAUCAAAACAUAAUAGACUUGAUUCAACCUUCAUUAAAGAAUUGACAGUCACUGUUCUACUUACUUCUCCUAGUGCCAGUUCACCAAAAUAGCAUUAUCCAGAAUAAGGGUGAGUAACUCAGAGCCAAGAAGAUAAAGUCAAAGUUUUCACUGUUUAAAAUACUUCAAGGAACCAUCACCUUUGCUGCUGUUAAAGGGUGUUUUGGGGGGUUCUUUCUUUCAGAUAUAAGAAGUUCAGGGAAUCCCUUUCCUGCUUCAAGCUUCCUGGGGGAAUACAAAGUGUGCAUGGGGGAACUGCAUUACCUGUAUUGCCAGAAGACCAGAGGGCAAAGGCCAAGUCUCCAUGCACAUUUGUUAGAGGACAUCAACAUUUUGGUAGUGCUGUUGACCCUUGUCCAAGAGGCCCUCCCAUUGAGCAGUACUAUGAUGUCAUCCUGCUGAAAAAAAGUGAUGUGCAUAUGAAUGACGAUCUACCGCUGUGACUGCCAUUUCCCACUUCUCAUCUCUACCAGACACACAUCUCUAGGUAUGCCAUGUUCCCAAACUUCAGAUCACCUGAGGAUCGAGACACUGGGAUCGAUGCAAGCAAUCAUCAGCCCUUCCACCCCAAUAUCCCUAGCAAUCCUUAUAAUGUGGUUGUUCUAAGGAAGACCAAAGCUUCCUAAGUUUGCUGAGGAAAAGGGUCAAAUAUACUAUCCAAACAAAUAUAUCCAACAAAUGUACUAUCCAAAUUC
rnacentral:lncRNA from 1 species